GGCGUCUUGACCGAGCGGUUAGGUAGAGGUCUGCAAAACCUUCUAGACGGGUUCGACUCCCGUAGAUGCCUCCA
rnacentral:tRNA from 2 species